rnacentral:rRNA from 1 species
UACGUAAGGGGCAAGCGUUGUUCGGAUUGACUGGGUGUAAAGGGUCUGCAGGCGGUCCUGCAAGUCGGGCGUGAAAUCCGGGGGCUCAACCCCCGAACUGCACUCGAUACUGCGGGACUUGAGUAUCGGAGAGGUGCGCGGAAUUCCUGGUGUAGCGGUGAAAUGCGUAGAUAUCAGGAGGAACACCGGUGGCGAAGGCGGCGCACUGGCCGAAUACUGACGCUCAUGGACGAAGGCGUGGGGAG